GACGGAGGGUGCAAGCGUUGUUCGGAUUGACUGGGCGUAAAGGGCGUGUAGGCGGUUGGUCAAGUCUGAUGUGAAAGCCCGGGGCUCAGCCCCGGAAGGGCAUCGGAAACUAGCCAGCUGGAGCGCGAUAGAGGAGGGUGGAAUUCCUGGUGUAGCGGUGAAAUGCGUAGAUAUCAGGAGGAACACCGGCGGCGAAGGCGGCUCUCUGGGACGGUACUGACGCUGAGACGCGAAAGCGUGGGGAGCGAACAGG
rnacentral:rRNA from 1 species